rnacentral:rRNA from 1 species
GCCAGCAGCCAUAUCACCCUGAAACUCACAACUGGGAGUCCACUGAAGCUCAGCAGGUGUGAGCCUGGUCAGUACCUGGAUGGGAGACCUCCUGGGAAAAACUAAGGUUGCUGGUG